CACAGGUCACCUCCCCAACCAGACUGGCCACCCAGGUGCCACCCCGAAGCUAAAACAAUAAAAUUCAAUCAAAUAGCCAAUGUACGAUUAUGUUUUCAUCGUGAAACUCGGAUGUCCGAGUGUAAGUGAAUGCAGCAUUGGCUUCUGCACUAUGAGCAUCAGGGUAGCAAAGGAAGGAGAACCAAGCACGAAAGAGACACCGCGGAAAAUAAUUUUUCAGCGAAAGAAAAUGAGGAGAGAAUAAAUGUCCCAAGCCAACCAGUAGAGAUAAAAGAACAGGAAGAAUGAAAAGAUUUCUUCCUUAAGAAGGCUAAAAUACACCCAGAAGCAGAGAACAAUGUCCGCAGUCAUCAUUGUCACCUGUGAGUUCUACAAAUGAAGGUGUGUGAGAGAGAACGAACAAGGAAAAUGCAAGGAAGGGAUGUUCAACCGAUCCAUAGGGGACAAAUCCUAAUAUUUGUAUUGUGCACCUGUUCAUGAUCCACCAGAUAACCAGGAUGCGGUGCCUUUUGAAACAUCGUGUACGACACCGGGCCAUCCACAUGGUCUCCUCCAGCUCAUUGAUCACAGUCUGGACUUUGUCGCUGAACGCCCUCAGAGAGGCGACGCCUUCGCGCAGCUGG